UCUUAUCUAAUUUAGAAAAAAUACAUAACUUGUAAUUAUGAUACACAAAAGAAACACUUGUGAUAAGAU
rnacentral:tRNA from 1 species